GGAUAGGUGUCCGAGCGGUCUAAGGAGCACGCCUCGAAAGCGUGUGAGGCUAACCCCUCCGCGAGUUCGAAUCUCGCCCUAUCCGCCU
rnacentral:tRNA from 1 species